rfam:Gossypium hirsutum cultivar TM-1 chromosome 12, whole genome shotgun sequence
AGUCCAUAAUGUGGGCAUUUUUGAAUUAGCACCUUAAAACGCUCCUAUGCUUCAUGAAAACUUUCUCUUUCUAACUGUUUAAAUGUGGCGAUCUCUCUUUUUGGUU